UGUUUGCCCGGAUACCGGGAAAGGGAAUAACACUUGAAAUGUAUAUAAGAAAUACUCAAGUUAAUAAAAAAAAAAAAAAAAAAGAUGGUUGUGAGCCACCAUGUGGUUGCUGGGAUUUGAACUCAGGACCUCUGGAAGAGCAGUCGGAGCUCUUAACCACUGAGCCAUCUCUCCAGCCCUCCACUGCACUUUCAUUCGACUGUUGGCCAUCAAUCGGUCAGGGAACUAGGAAGAACCAGUUGAGACCACUCCCAGAGAUGAGGACAGAGCACACUGAGGAGGGGGCGUGCAUCCUAAUGUGAGAGAUAUGCAAAACAGGACAUUUUGUAUCAGCACCCCUAAAAUGAUGUUCCUUUGACUACAACUUUAGGUGAAGGUGACCUGGAAGGAAUUGAGGGUUUUAAGAAAGGAAUGUAGCCAUACCCGUGGCACAGUGGGGAAGCAGCUCAGCUGAUAAUGUCACAUGCUACGGUACACAAACAACUGAUGGGGAGCCCAUGCAUCCUUAGGUGUGCCACUGGGAACACAGGGCAGGACGGAGGUCGGAGGAACAGAAGUGGAGUGGCCAGCAGUGCAAACUAGCCACUUGCAAUUAAUCCAACUCUCUGUGUCUCUGUGACAAAGACAUCUCUCCUCUGUUAUCACAGAUCUUACCUAUAGAUUUUUAAAUCUCCGAGGGUAAUCAUUUCUUUACUGAAAGUAUUUCUUACCUGUCGAAUUCCAUUCCAGGAAACAGGCUGUUGUGAUGGCAUCUGUACUCACGACUCUUUUCUUCUCUAGGAUUACAGCACUUCUCACUCACUGUCGCCCUUCCAAAGUACAAGUACUCUUUUACCUGGAACACAGUCUGUCAAGGAUGUAUAUUUUCAGUUUCCUUCCAGGUUGGGUGCUAAUGAUAGAUCAGUGAAAUGAUCCUACCCACCUAUCUUGGGGGUUACUUACUAGAGAACCCCAGAACAGCUGUACAACCGAAAGGCAUGACUGCGUCUCUACAGCUGCACAGACGGAGUCCUAGCCUUCGGUGAACGUUCUACGCUUUAGCAUCUAAGACUACAGACGACUAGGGCAGAAUCACAGAUGGCUGGCAGAAAGGUGCAAAAAGUGAGUUGUUGACAUCUCAGAGGAGGAACUAAUGAAGCCCUGGCCUUUCUUCUCUGAGAGAACAUCAUUAGGUCUUAUCACGAGGGUCGCUGAUGGGUAAUCACAGCUGUUCUGAUAAAGACAAGCACCGUCCCGUUAUGUCUACGCUGAGGAGGUACCCCGCAUAGCAGGGGCUCAUGCAAGAGACCAGGAUUUGAUGCUAGAGACUUUGCUGGGUUAGAAUGGAGAGGCAUGUCCUGUGCUGACUUUCUAAUAGCAAAGUGGCUUGGUUUUCCGCAUGACCUUCUAAGGGAGGUCAUUUCAGGAGAAGAAAUAGUGGCCACUCCACUGUUAGAUUAGAUCCAGUCAUGUUUUCCUCAGGGCAGGACCAGGUUUGAGACAAUGGGGAGAGUGACAAAUUCUGCCGACGACGUCUCUAUCCCACUACAGCCUUCUGCUGGAUUUUGGAAGUGCUUAUGUUUCCUGUCUUUGAGCCACUUUGGAUGUCGUUAAAUCUCAGUAUCACCAGGUUCACACCUUCAGUCCUUGUCACACAGAGUUUUUUUCUGCUCUAAUACCCCGCCUCCCUUCCCUUUGUCUGCUAUCUAUGCUUCUGGGGGAAAAUGAGCAAGGGUAUUACUUUGUAGCCCAGAUUGAAUUCAAAUUCAUGACUCUCUAUGCUCUGUGCUUACAGGUGUGUGCUACCAGUCCUGGCCUCUGCCUUCUCUCUUCACUGGAGGCUACCUUUUCCUCACCUUCUUUCUCUUUCCUGUUCUCCAGUAAACACUGCUCCCUAGGAAAUAAAAUCUGCAUUUUACACACACACACACACACACACACACACACACACACACACACACACACACACACGUAGUUUCAAAUGAAGAAUAGGGGCCAUGGUUUCAGUUCUUCAUCACUUUUUUUUUUCUUUUUUCUUUUUUUUUUUUUCGGAGCUGGGGACCGAACCCAGGGCCUUGCGCUUGCUAGGCAAGCGCUCUACCACUGAGCCAAAUCCCCAACCCCUCUUCAUCACUUUUGAGAGACGUAUUAAAUGGCAACGUUCCUGGAGGUAGGAGUCUGUUUUAUCUCAGCAUCCCCUACUUGUAGUUCAAAGCCUAGAUUUGGCACCCGUCCAGAGAUUUUGCUGCUGGAAUUAGUGGACAGUUAUUUACAGAAGCACAGCACCAGAGCAUGACAGAGGAUGCCCUGGGCCAGCGUUAGAGGGACUGUAAGGUGUCCUAGGAAGUAAGACACGGAGCUGAGUGUGAAUGAGAAGUAACUGUGACUCUGUAGCUCUCCCCAGAAGGAAGAAGAAGAAAACGGAGGACCCACCUAUCAUCUGACGAAUGCUAUGUUUUGUCCAGAUAUGGUGCCACGUUGUCACUCACAGUCACCACGUGCUGCUUCCUGGAAGGAUUUGGGUUUUUCAUCUUGACAGCCAUGCCAGGUGGCAAACUUCAAGUUCGAACUUAAGAGUUUCUCAACCGUGACCCGAAGGCCACCCACAUCAAUGUUAAAAGUGCUGAUCCCUGUGCCGCUCAGUCCUGUGGAAUUAGAAUCUCAGU